AGUGAACGCUGGCGGUAGGCCUAACACAUGCAAGUCGAACGGCAGCACAGUAAGAGCUUGCUCUUACGGGUGGCGAGUGGCGGACGGGUGAGGAAUACAUCGGAAUCUACUUUUUCGUGGGGGAUAACGUAGGGAAACUUACGCUAAUACCGCAUACGACCUACGGGUGAAAGCAGGGGAUCUUCGGACCUUGCGCGAUUGAAUGAGCCGAUGUCGGAUUAGCUAGUUGGCGGGGUAAAGGCCCACCAAGGCGACGAUCCGUAGCUGGUCUGAGAGGAUGAUCAGCCACACUGGAACUGAGACACGGUCCAGACUCCUACGGGAGGCAGCAGUGGGGAAUAUUGGACAAUGGGCGCAAGCCUGAUCCAGCCAUACCGCGUGGGUGAAGAAGGCCUUCGGGUUGUAAAGCCCUUUUGUUGGGAAAGAAAAGCAGCAGGUUAAGACCCCGCUGUUCUGACGGGACCCAAAGAAGAAGCACCGGCUAACUUCGU
rnacentral:rRNA from 1 species